UACGAAGGGGGCUAGCGUUGCUCGGAAUUACUGGGCGUAAAGCGCACGUAGGCGGCUUUCUAAGUCGGGGUGAAAUCCUGGAGCUCAACUCCAGAACUGCCUUCGAUACUGGAAAGCUCGAGUCCGGGAGAGGUGAGUGGAACUGCGAGUGUAGAGGUGAAAUUCGUAGAUAUUGGGAAGAACACCGGUGGCGAAGGCGGCGACCUGGUCCAUUACUGACGCUGAGGCGCGACAGCGUGGGAGCAACAGG
rnacentral:rRNA from 1 species